UUAAGUUCAGCGGGUAUUCCUACCUGAUCCGAGGUCAACCUUAGAAAUUGGGGGUUUUACGGCAAGAACCCGCCGCACGACCAUAGCGAUGUAGAGUUACUACGCUCGGUGUGACUAGCGAGCCCGCCACUGUUUUUGAGGGACCGCGUCAGACGCGGAUCCCCAACGCAAGCAGAGCUUGAUGGUUGAAAUGACGCUCG
rnacentral:misc_RNA from 2 species